GACGAACGCUGGCGGCGUGCUUAACACAUGCAAGUCGAGCGGUAAGGCCCUUUCGGGGGUACACGAGCGGCGAACGGGUGAGUAACACGUGGGUGACCUGCCCUCAGCUCUGGGAUAAGCCUGGGAAACUGGGUCUAAUACCGGAUAUGACUCCAUGACGCAUGUUGUGGGGUGGAAAGCCUUGUGCGGCUGAGGAUGGGCCCGCGGCCUAUCAGCUUGUUGGUGGGGUGANGGCCUACCAAGGCGACGACGGGUAGCCGGCCUGAGAGGGCGACCGGCCACACUGGGACUGAGACACGGCCCAGACUCCUACGGGAGGCAGCAGUGGGGAAUCUUGCGCAAUGGGCGAAAGCCUGACGCAGCGACGCCGCGUGAGGGAUGACGGCCUGGUGUAACGU
rnacentral:rRNA from 1 species